AACUAGUAACUGGGGCUAAGUCGUAACAAGGUAGCCGUACCGGAAGGUGUGGCUGGAACACCUCCUUUUUGGAGCUUA
rnacentral:rRNA from 1 species